CCUACGGGAGGCAGCAGUGAGGAAUAUUGGUCAAUGGGCGCGAGCCUGAACCAGCCAAGUCGCGUGAGGGAAGACGGUCCUAUGGAUUGUAAAUCUCUUUUGUCGGGGAGCAAAAGACGCCACGCGUGGCGUUCCGAGAGUACCCGAAGAAAAAGCAUCGGCUAACUCCGUGCCAGCAGCCGCGGUAAUACGGAGGAUGCGAGCGUUAUCCGGAUUUAUUGGGUUUAAAGGGUGCGCAGGCGGAAGAUCAAGUCAGCGGUAAAAUUGAGAGGCUCAACCUCGUCGAGCCGUUGAAACUGGUUGUCUUGAGGGGGUGAGAGGUAUGCGGAAUGCGUGGUGUAGCGGUGAAAUGCAUAGAUAUCACGCAGAACUCCGAGUGCGAAGGCAGCAUACCGGCGCUCAACGGACGCUGAUGCACGAAAGUGUGGGUAUCGAACAGGAUUAGAUACCCGAGUAGUC
rnacentral:rRNA from 1 species